CCUACGGGAGGCAGCAGUGGGGGAUAUUGCACAAUGGGGGGAACCCUGAUGCAGCGACGCCGCGUGGGUGAAGAAGCGCCUCGGCGCGUAAAGCCCUGUCAGCAGGGAAGAAAAUGACGGUACCUGAAGAAGAAGCCCCGGCUAACUACGUGACAGCAGCCGCGGUUAUACGUCGGGGGCAGGCGUUAUCCGGAUUUUAUGGGUGUAAAGGGGGCGCAGACGGCGAUGCAAGCCAGGAGGGAAAGCCCGGGGCCCAACCCCGGGACUGGAGUUGGAACUGCGUGGCUGGAGUGCAGGAGGGGCAGGCGGAAUUCCUGGUGUAGCGGUGAAAUGCGUAGAUAUCAGGAGGAACACCGGUGGCGAAGGCGGCCUGCUGGACUGCAACUGACGUUGAGGCCCGAAAGCGUGGGGAGCAAACAGGAUUAGAUACCCGAGUAGUC
rnacentral:rRNA from 1 species